rnacentral:lncRNA from 1 species
GUUUUCUACAGUGUGGAAGCUUUGUUUUUUUUCCUCUUUGCAAUCAAUCUAGCUGCUGCUCACUCUUUGGGUCCGCCAUUGCCUUUAUGGGCUGUUAACGCUCACCGCGAAGGUCUGCAGCUUCCCUCCUGAAGCCAGCGAAACCACGAACCGACCGGGAGGAGCGAAUAACUCCAGACGCGCCACCUUAAUAGCUGUAACAGUCACCUCGAAGGUCCGCAACUUCACUCCUAAGCCAGCGAGAUCACGAACCCCACCAGAAGGAAGAAAUUCCGAACAUAUCCGCACAUCAGAAGGCACAAAUUCCGGACACGCCGCCUUUAAGAACUGUAACACUCACAGCGAGGGUCCGCGGCUUCAUUCUUGAAGUCAGUGAGACCAAGAACCCGCCAAUUCCGGACACACUAUGAUCAUACCACUGCACUCCAGCCUGGAGUACAAGGACAAAUCAUGCCCAGCUGAGGAAAUGAGCAAGCACAUAUGAAAAAGUCCCGAAAAUAAAAACGGCAGCAAAAAAAUGGUUGUAUGCCAAACAACAGUUACCAGCUCUCCAGGAAAAACUCAUUCAUAAAUCGGAAGAAAUUGGUGCUCAUCUACUGAAGGGAAUAGAAAGAGCCUUCUUUGUGCAACCUGUGCUGCAAAGACCACAAGCAACUGCGGUCAGACAAAAGACAAACAAAGAGACGUCUGGGAAAUGCCACAACUGAGAAUAAAGUCACUUCAUACACCCAAGAGGCUGCCACCACACAGAUGCCUCCUGUAGAUAUCCAACUAUCAGAACAGAUACUAUAAUAUUCUAUAAUGAGAAGUGUGUUUCACCAAAGCAACACUAUUGUAUCCUGUCCAAUAAAGAAAAUGUAUUUCCU